CAGAACCUUCAUCCAAUGACUGAUGGAAGCAGAGGCAGACACCCAUGGCUAAACACUGAGCUGAACUCAAGGAACCAGUGACACUCAAGGCAGCAGUAUUCUACCUCAUUUAGAGAGACAAUAUGCAUGAAAAAGUCAGUUCUGUUUGGGGUAGGGAAAAUGGAAAUUUGCUAAUAUUCAUCAAGACAUUGUCAGGUGGAGAAAGCACAGACUGAUAAAAAUGGCCUGGGAAGGUGAGAGCUCCCAGCCUCAGCCUGAGGCCAUUAACUGUGUGAAUUGUAUAACUAAUGUUCCUAUUCUAAUUCUGUGCUUAUUAAGCAAUACUGUAAUUCUAAUUUGGCUUCCUGUGGCUGUCAGGGAAACAAAUCUUGGUUGUCUCAGAGAAUGUAUUGUCUGUACUAACCAUGACAAAAUUGAGCUGCAACCAUGCAGUUAGCUAUUUCUUUUCAGAAAUUAACUAUUCUACCUUGGAAACUAAGAGACUGAAAAACAAAAGCAGCAACUUGGCAAAAUUAUAUUUCAGAAAUAUCUCAGAUUUCAGAGAGGAGACGGAACUUAAGAAAUAAACACAUGACUGAGCAAACAAGAUAAAUAAGUCCUGCCUCCAACUCCUAGGAUUGCAUGAUCAGCUGCAAAGAACCAGAAGAUGAAAGAAGACGAAAAAACAAAGCAAAACAACAAACAAACAAA